UGAAAACAGGCAGGUCUUCCAUCCUUGGCCAUGAUUCUGGAUCUAAAUCUUCUCUGGACACCAAAUACUUAUGCCCACAGCCACUGGAAUCACUGUGACUCCACACACUGGUGCAGAAAUCUCAGCUGGAGAGUGAUGAUUCCAGCAGGUCAUGCUGACUAACUGUGGAAUGCAUAUUUCCAAAGAACUCUUAAGGGACAAGAGGAAUCAGAAGGAACAAAAGCUUCUUGUAUCUUUAUUACAGGAAAGUCUAAAUUAAAAAGAUGAUUACUACUGACAGCAGUGAACAAGUGAACUGGAGCCAACUGAUAACCCUCUCCUCAUACAUCUUCUCUUCCAUCCCAUAAAGAGCUUUCACUCUAGACAAAGCUGGGCAAAUAAAGAUACCUUGGAAAUUACAAUGGCUCAAGUAAGAUUGGGGACAGUGUGCUACAAGCAAUAAAGAUGGAAAAUGGA